CCUACGGGUGGCAGCAGUGGGGAAUAUUGCACAAUGGGGGAAACCCUGAUGCAGCGACGCCGCGUGAGUGAAGCAGUAAUUCGUUACGUAAAGCUCUAUCAGCAGGGAAGAAACACUGACCUUACGGUCAGCAGACGGUACCUGAGUAAGAAGCCCCGGCUAACUACGUGCCAGCAGCCGAGGUAAUAAGUAGGGGGCAAGCGUUAUCCGGAUUUACUGGGUGUAAAGGGAGCGUAGACGGUGCGCCAAGUCUGGAGUGAAAUGCCGCAGCUGAACUGAGGAGCUGCUUUGGAAACUGGCGAACUAGAGUGCGGGAGGGGUAAGCGGAAUUCCUAGUGUAGCGGUGAAAUGCGUAGAUAUUAGGAGGAACACCGGUGGCGAAGGCGGCUUACUGGACCGUAACUGACGUUGAGGCUCGAAAGCGUGGGGAGCAAACAGGAUUAGAUACCCCUGUAGUC
rnacentral:rRNA from 1 species